rnacentral:lncRNA from 1 species
ACAAAGUGUGGCUGCAUACGAAUCAGAAAAACAAAUACUAUAUAUUAAGAGAAACAAUGAAUGGACCCCUUAGCGACUGUGAAAUCCUGCUAUGUGCGAUAAUGUACAUGACGCACUUCCACGGUUGAGUUGCUACUUACCAAGAAGGUUUCUAAAUUUGAGAGUCCAUUGCUCCAACUUUCACCUUCAAACUUGGGUUAAGGCGUAUCAUCGUCAAUUUCUCCAGGGCAUCUUCCUCUAGAGCGGUUAACGAAUCAAAUGAUUGCCUGCAUAUAAAGUAAGCAAAUCUGCAAUGUUCAAAAAAAAUUUGCUUCGUUUGUUAACUUGCUAUGCGAGUCACACGACAUCACACACGCUAAUAUAAAGAAAACAUUGCAUAUUCUCUUGAUUGCUCAUGAAAUCCACAGUCGUGAGAAGAAUGCUAUAACCUCUCAGUUCCCUUGAUCACUACCAGGAGAUAAGGUGUUCAUUGGCGGCAACAAUAGGCACAAUUUUGUUUAAGGUAUGUGAUAUAUAUAUAUAUAUAUAUAUAUAUAUAUAUAUAUAUAUAUACACACAUAUAUAUAUAUGUAUGUAUGUAUAUUCUUCUUUAAGGAGAGUAUGUGGAUGCAGAGUUUUGAUGAAAAUGUAGGAAAAGAACGCAGAGCUCUACCUUCACACGCUUUCUACCGUUUCAUUAUAAAUCGAACUGUGAAAAGCAUGUUUUCUCUCAAAUCCAUUUCAAUAGAAUGCCAACUCAACCACUUUCCUUUUUCAUACCUCAGCUUAACAAGAUACUCCUAAAUUCAAAGAUGAAGAAAUUAUUAUUGAUACAUUUAUCUUAGAAAACAAGCGAAUGGAACUUAAAGCAAAAGUGAGUGGUGGAACGCUCAAUUACCGCUCAUCCGCAGAGCUCAACAUAAGAAUUAUCAUUCUUGUGAAAUCCAUUGCACACCAGCCAACCACUUAUUCAAGUAAUAUCAUUUACUGGAAUACCAACAAACACAAGCAUGACGACACUGCUACAAGGAACAAGCGCUCUGUUCGACCACUUUGUCUGUAAAAAAGCACAUCUGCACCCAUUCGAAGAUAAGAAUGACAUCAAGAGAAGAUGAAAAGGCAUGUCUCCCAUACUCAAACUAUAAACAGUAUUAGAAGAAAAAAACAUCAUUCCAGGGAUUACCUCGCCGAUUAAAGGAGAAUUAUAUUCAUGCCAGAUAACUGGAGCUAGCACCAUUCAAGGACAACCAAUUGAUGCAUGUUUAAAUCGUUGGCUGUAGAUAAUCCUAUCUUUACAAGUCCAGAGUUGCUAGCUGCAUCAAUAAAGCCGACAAAUACGUUAGUCCCAUUGUGUUGUCCUGACUGAUUGCAUAGUUGAUUUACAUUGAUACAUAAAGGACGGACAAA